rnacentral:rRNA from 1 species
CGUUUGUUUGUCUUUCGGGGCAUUCAGGUCAACUUGGCUUUUACUCACUGUUGUCAUUGUCUUUGCCCAAGGUAUAUGCCUUGUGUGCAUGGCAUUGACCUUCUAUUUUAUGGUAAUGUUGUAUCUUUCGGGGUACAUUCAUUCCAUAUAGUUUACUUUGAAAAAAUUAGGGUGUUUAAAGCAGGCGAAAAGGCUUCGGAAUAUAUUAGCAUGGGAUAAUAGAAUACGAUCUAGGUCGUAAUUUGUUGGUUUCUACGGCUUAGGUAAUGAUUGACAGGGAUAGUUGGGGUCGCUCGUAUUGAGUUGUCAGAGGUGAAAUUCUAGGAUUAACUCAAGACGAACUAAUGCGAAAGCAUUCGGCAAGGAUGUUUUCAUUAAUCAAGAACGAAAGUUGGGGGAUCGAAGAUGAUCAGAUACCGUCGUAGUCUCAACUGUAAACUAUGUCGACCGAGGAUCCGGUAGCGUUACAUGGAUGACCUUCCGGGCACUCUGUGAGAAAUCAUAAGUAUUUGGAUUUCGGGGGGAGUAUGGUCGCAAGGCUGAAACUUAAAGGGAUUGACGGAAGGGCACCACCAGGAGUGGAAUCUGCGGCUUAAUUUGACCCAACACGGGAAAACUUACCAGGUCCGGACACAGUGAGGAUUGACAGAUUGAGAGCUCUUUCUUGAUUUUGUGGGUGGUGGUGCAUGGCCGUUUUUAGUUGGUGGAGUGAUUUGUCUGGUUAAUUCCGUUAACGAACGAGACCUUAACCUAUUAAAUAGCUGCGCGAACCCAGGUUCUUUAACCAUUCUCUCCUUCGGGGGGGCGUGGUAUCAUUAUUUUGCUUUUCACUUUCGGGUGGGAGGUAGGGUAGUGAUAGGGCCUGAGAUGAGUUGGUGAUUUGGCUUCUUAGAGGGACUACUUGCAUCCUUAGCAAGGGGAGGUUUGAGGCAAAAACAGGUCUGUGAUGCCCUUCGAUGUUCUGGGCUGCACGCGCGUUACACUGGCGCAUGCAAAGAGUUUAAAAUUCCUGUCCCGAUGGGGUUGGGAAAUCUUUUUAAAGUGCGUCGUGAUGGGGAUAGAGCAUUGAAAUUAUUGCUCUUGAACGAGGAAUUCCUAGUAAUUGCAGGUCAUCAACCUGCAAUGAUUACGUCCCUGCCCUUUGUACACACCGCCCGUCGCUCCUACCGAUGGUUGAACCGAUGAGGACUCGGGAUGAUCUUAUUAGAUCGGUCGGUCGAAAGAUCGAUAGACUAUUAGGUCAGAACUUGUUCAAAUCUUUUUAACUAGAGGAAGGAGAAGUCGUAACAAGGUUUCCGUAGGUGAACCUGCGGAAG